CGUUCUUUGAGUCAAAUUAGUUCACUAUCUAUGUGUUUAAUAAAUAAUUUGAAAUUUUCAUUUCAAAAGAGUAUGACUACGAUAGGUUUUUUUUUUAAUCUCAUAGUGCUACUACCUUAAAGUAGUGAUAUUAUGAUCUAAUAUUCUCAAAUCAGUACUAGAAGUGUUUUGAAGCCAUCUUAGGUUAAAUCAACUGUGGGUGACUUCAGCUGGUUUGACUUGCUUCCAAUUGGACUGCCUCAUAAAAUACAGUGGGUUUUUUUUGUUUGUUUAAAUAGAAAUGAGGUAUUGCUGUUUUGUCCAGGUUGGUCUCAAACCCUGGGCCUCAAGUGAUCCUCGAGCCUCAGCCCCCCAAAGUGCUGGAAUUAUAGAAGUGAGCCAGUGCACUUAGCCAAAAUAUAGUUCUUGAUUUUUCAACCCUGUGGGGAUAAGGAUAACAGAGAUAACCAGCUGUUGUGUGUUAAGAAUGAAAAAGGGGGCCGGGCGCUGUAGCUCAGGCCUAUAAUCCCAGCACUUUGGGAGGCUGAGGCGGGUGGAUCACGAGGUCAAGAGAUUGAGACCAUCCUGGUCAACAUGGUGAAACCCCGUCUCUACUAAAAAUACAAAAA